UUUCCGUAGGUGAACCUGCGGAAGGAUCAUUGUAGGAUUGUUUUGGGAGGGGUGGUUGUGAUUUGUGGGGAUUGUGUGUGGUUGUUUGGAUUGCCUGGAUUGCCUGGCUGUCUGCAACUCGACUCGUCUCAUCACAACCACUCUUUACAUUGGCACAGGCCAGUGGUCUGAUGUUUAGAGCACAGACUCAGUCUGAUGUCUGCGCUUGUUCGUUUGACAGAAACAGUACCAUAUCAUGGCAAAACUUUUAACAAUGGAUCUCUUGGUUCUG
rnacentral:misc_RNA from 1 species